rnacentral:pre_miRNA from 1 species
CAUCUACUCCCUCCGUCCGGAAAUACUUGUCAUCAAAAUAGAUAAAAGGGGAUGUAUCUAGAUGUAUUUUAGUUCUAGAUACAUCUCUUUUUAUCCAUUUUGAUGACGAGUAUUUCUGGACGGAGGGAGUAUUAU